rnacentral:tRNA from 1 species
GCAGACGUAGCUUAGCGGUAGAGCGCAUGGCUGUUAACCAUGAGGUCGGAGGUUCGAUCCCUCCCGUCUGCG